rnacentral:rRNA from 1 species
GAUGAACGCUGGCGGCGUGCCUAAUACAUGCAAGUCGAGCGAACAGACGAGGAGCUUGCUCCUCUGACGUUAGCGGCGGACGGGUGAGUAACACGUGGGUAACCUACCUAUAAGACUGGGAUAACUUCGGGAAACCGGAGCUAAUACCGGAUAAUAUAUUGGACCGCAUGGUUCAAUAGUGAAAGACGGUUUUGCUGUCACUUAUAGAUGGAUCCGCGCCGCAUUAGCUAGUUGGUAAGGUAACGGCUUACCAAGGCGACGAUGCGUAGCCGACCUGAGAGGGUGAUCGGCCACACUGGAACUGAGACACGGUCCAGACUCCUACGGGAGGCAGCAGUAGGGAAUCUUCCGCAAUGGGCGAAAGCCUGACGGAGCAACGCCGCGUGAGUGAUGAAGGUCUUCGGAUCGUAAAACUCUGUUAUUAGGGAAGAACAAAUGUGUAAGUAACUAUGCACGUCUUGACGGUACCUAAUCAGAAAGCCACGGCUAACUACGUG